UGGGGAAUCUUCCGCAAUGGACGAAAGUCUGACGGAGCAACGCCGCGUGAGUGAAGACGGCCUUCGGGUUGUAAAGCUCUGUGAUCCGGGACGAGAGAGCCUGAGGUGAAUAGCCUAAGGAAGUGACGGUACCGGAAAAGCAAGCCACGGCUAACUACGUGCCAGCAGCCGCGGUAAUACGUAGGUGGCAAGCGUUGUCCGGAAUUAUUGGGCGUAAAGCGCGCGCAGGCGGCUUCCUAAGUCCAUCUUAAAAGUGCGGGGCUUAACCCCGUGAUGGGAUGGAAACUGGGAAGCUGGAGUAUCGGAGAGGAAAGUGGAAUUCCUAGUGUAGCGGUGAAAUGCGUAGAGAUUAGGAAGAACACCGGUGGCGAAGGCGACUUUCUGGACGAAAACUGACGCUGAGGCGCGAAAGCGUGGGGAGCAAACAGG
rnacentral:rRNA from 1 species